rnacentral:rRNA from 1 species
UGCGUAGGCGGAUCAAUAAGUCAGUGGUGAAAUCUCUCGGCUCAACCGGGAAACUGCCAUUGAUACUGUUGAUCUUGAGUUCGGUUGAGGUAGGCGGAAUGUGUAAUGUAGCGGUGAAAUGCUUAGAUAUUACACAGAACACCAAUUGCGUAGGCAGCUUACUAGUCCGACACUGACGCUGAGGCACGAAAGCGUGGGGAGCGAACAGGAUUAGAUACCCUGGUAGUCC